CAGCGGAGGGAUCAUUACCGAGUUAUACAACUCAUCAACCCUGUGAACAUACCUAAAACGUUGCUUCGGCGGGAACAGACGGCCCUGUAACAACGGGCCGCCCCCGCCAGAGGACCCCUAACUCUGUUUUUAUAAUGUUUUUCUGAGUAAACAAGCAAAUAAAUUAAAACUUUCAACAACGGAUCUCUUGGCUCUGGCAUCGAUGAAGAACGCAGCGAAAUGCGAUAAGUAAUGUGAAUUGCAGAAUUCAGUGAAUCAUCGAAUCUUUGAACGCACAUUGCGCCCGCCAGUAUUCUGGCGGGCAUGCCUGUUCGAGCGUCAUUACAACCCUCAGGCCCCCGGGCCUGGCGUUGGGGAUCGGCGGAAGCCCCCUGUGGGCACACGCCGUCCCUCAAAUACAGUGGCGGUCCCGCCGCAGCUUCCAUUGCGUAGUAGCUAACACCUCGCAACUGGAGAGCGGCGCGGCCAUGCCGUAAAACACCCAACUUCUGAAUGUUGACCUCGAAUCAGGUAGGAAUACCCGCUGAACUUAAGCAUAUCA
rnacentral:rRNA from 1 species